rnacentral:rRNA from 1 species
GACGAACGCUGGCGGCGUGCUUAACACAUGCAAGUCGAACGAAGAGCGAUGGAAGCUUGCUUCUAUCAAUCUUAGUGGCGAACGGGUGAGUAACGCGUAAUCAACCUGCCCUUCAGAGGGGGACAACAGUUGGAAACGACUGCUAAUACCGCAUACGAUCUAACCUCGGCAUCGAGGAUAGAUGAAAGGUGGCCUCUACAUGUAAGCUAUCACUGAAGGAGGGGAUUGCGUCUGAUUAGCUAGUUGGAGGGGUAACGGCCCACCAAGGCGAUGAUCAGUAGGCGGUCUGAGAGGAUGAACGGCCACAUUGGGACUGAGACACGGCCCAGACUGCUACGGGAGGCAGCAGUGGGGAAUCUUCCGCAAUGGACGAAAGGCUGACGGAGCAACGCCGCGUGAGUGAUGACGGCCUUCGGGUUGUAAAGCUCUGUUAAUCGGGACGAAAGGCCUUCUUGCGAAUAGUUAGAAGGAUUGACGGUACCGGAAUAGAAAGCCACGGCUAACUACGUG